UGAGGAAUAUUGGGCAAUGGAGGCAACUCUGACCCAGCCAUGCCGCGUGAGUGAGAAGGUUUUCGAAUUGUAAAGCUCUUUCGGGUGUGAAGAUGAUGACGGUAACACCAGAAGAAGCCCCGGCAAACUUCGUGCCAGCAGCCGCGGUAAUACGAAGGGGGCGAGCGUUGUUCGGAAUUACUGGGCGUAAAGGGUGUGUAGGCGGUUAAGUAAGAUAGUGGUGAAAUGCCGGGGCUCAACCUCGGAAUUGCCAUUAUGACUAUUUAGCUAGAAUGAUGCAGAGGAUAGCGGAAUACCCAGUGUAGAGGUGAAAUUCGUAGAUAUUGGGUAGAACACCAGAGGCGAAGGCGGCUAUCUGGGCAUUGAUUGACGCUGAGGCACGAAAGCAUGGGGAUCAAACA
rnacentral:rRNA from 1 species